rnacentral:rRNA from 1 species
GACGUAGGGCGCGAGCGUUAAUCGGAAUUACUGGGCGUAAAGCGUGCGCAGGCGGUUUGUUAAGACAGAUGUGAAAGCCCCGGGCUCAACCUGGGAAUUGCAUUCGAGACUGCGUAGCUAGGGUGCGGAAGAGGGAAGCGGAAUUUCCGGUGUAGCGGUGAAAUGCGUAGAUAUCGGAAGGAACACCAGUGGCGAAAGCGGCUUCCUGGUCCAGCACCGACGUUCAGGCACGAAAGCGUGGGGAGCAAACAGG